AUUGAACGCUGGCGGCAUGCCUUACACAUGCAAGUCGAACGGCAGCAUAGGAGCUUGCUCCUGAUGGCGAGUGGCGAACGGGUGAGUAAUAUAUCGGAACGUGCCCUAGAGUGGGGGAUAACUAGUCGAAAGACUAGCUAAUACCGCAUACGAUCUACGGAUGAAAGUGGGGGAUCGCAAGACCUCAUGCUCCUGGAGCGGCCGAUAUCUGAUUAGCUAGUUGGUGGGGUAAAAGCCUACCAAGGCGACGAUCAGUAGCUGGUCUGAGAGGACGAACAGCCACACUGGGACUGAGACACGGCCCAGACUCCUACGGGAGGCAGCAGUGGGGAAUUUUGGACAAUGGGGGCAACCCUGAUCCAGCAAUGCCGCGUGAGUGAAGAAGGCCUUCGGGUUGUAAAGCUCUUUUGUCAGGGAAGAAAUGGCUCUGGUUAAUACCUGGGGUCGAUGACGGUACCGGAAGAAUAAGGACCGGCUAACUACGUGCCAGCCGCCGCCGUAAGAC
rnacentral:rRNA from 1 species